rnacentral:tRNA from 1 species
CCUGGUGGCUCAGACGGUAAAGCAUCUGCCUGCAAUGCGGGAGACCCAGGUUCGAUUCCUGGGUCAGGA